UUGGAGUUCACCGGAUAUUAUUGUGAGUGUGCCACUUGCAUCUAUCGCUCUAAGUAUCCACCAAGGAAACGAGGGCCUAUCAAGUACCCUAUUAGCAUCAUGAAGCAACUGAACCCUCAUUUCAACCCUGAUUUCGAUCCUCCUUAUGUGGAAGAUCAAGGGUUCAUCGCUCGUUUAUGGUCAAAUUUCUUUCAACUACAUAUACACGAUCCAAGGUUUGCUCAAAGAGUGGGAAUGACACUAAAUAUAUAUCAAGACGAGGUGAAGAUUAAUGGCCGGAGGAUGAACAAGAGAACUUUCUGGAUCUCUGUUUACGUGGUGGUUUUUGUGCUAACCUGUUUUUGUUUCUUCAUGGUCAAACUUUGGUCCG